rnacentral:rRNA from 1 species
CAGUAGCCGCGGGAAUACGAAGGGUGCAAGCGUUACUCGGAAUUACUGGGCGUAAAGCGUGCGUAGGUGGUGGUUUAAGUCCGUUGUGAAAGCCCUGGGCUCAACCUGGGAAUUGCAGUGGAUACUGGGUCACUAGAGUGUGGUAGAGGAUAGUGGAAUUUCCGGUGUAGCAGUGAAAUGCGUAGAGAUCGGAAGGAACAUCUGUGGCGAAGGCGACUAUCUGGGCCAACACUGACACUGAGGCACGAAAGCGUGGGGAGCGAACAGGAUUAGAUACCCGUGUAGUCCCUGUCUCUUAUAC